AGAGCGAACGCUGGCGGCAUGCUUAACACAUGCAAGUCGCACGGGCAGGGCAACCUGUCAGUGGCGGACGGGUGAGUAACGCGUAGGAAUCUAUCCACGGGUGGGGGAUAACGCCGGGAAACUGGUGCUAAUACCGCAUGAUACCUGAGGGUCAAAGGCGCAAGCCGCCUGUGGAGGAGCCUGCGUCCGAUUAGCUAGUUGGUGGGGUAACUGCCUACCAAGGCGACGAUCGGUAGCUGGUCUGAGAGGAUGAUCAGCCACAUUGGGACUGAGACACGGCCCAAACUCCUACGGGAGGCAGCAGUGGGGAAUAUUGGACAAUGGGCGAAAGCCUGAUCCAGCAAUGCCGCGUGGGUGAAGAAGGUCUUCGGAUUGUAAAGCCCUUUCGGCGGGGACGAUGAUGACGGUACCUGCAGAAGCAGCUGCGGCUAACUACGUGCCAGCAGCCGCGGUAAUACGUAGGCAGCAAGCGUUGUUCGGAGUUACUGGGCGUAAAGGGUGCGUAGGCGGCUCUAUAAGUAUGGUGUGAAAUCUCCCGGCUUAACUGGGAGGGUGCGCUAUAGACUGUGGGGCUAGAGGGUGGGAGAGGAAAGUGGAAUUCCUGGUGUAGCGGUGAAAUGCGUAGAUAUCGGGGAGGAACACCUGUGGCGAAAGCGGCGCACUGGACCAUAACUGACGCUGAGGCGCGAAAGCUAGGGGAGCAAACAGGAUUAGAUACCCUGGUAGUCCUAGCCCUAAACGAUGGAUGCUUGGUGUGAUCGGUACCCAAUCCGAUCGUGCCGUAGCUAACGCGUUAAGCAUCCCGCCUGGGGAGUACGGUCGCAAGGCUGAA
rnacentral:rRNA from 1 species